rnacentral:rRNA from 1 species
UACGGAGGGGGCUAGCGUUGUUCGGAAUUACUGGGCGUAAAGCGCACGUAGGCGGCUUGGUAAGUUAGAGGUGAAAGCCUGGAGCUCAACUCCAGAAUUGCCUUUAAGACUGCAUCGCUAGAAUUGUGGAGAGGUAAGUGGAAUUCCGAGUGUAGAGGUGAAAUUCGUAGAUAUUCGGAAGAACACCAGUGGCGAAGGCGACUUACUGGACACAUAUUGACGCUGAGAUGCGAAAGCUAGGGUAGCAAACGGG